CCUACGGGGGGCUGCAGUAGGGAAUCUUCCGCAAUGGGCGAAAGCCUGACGGAGCAACGCCGCGUGAGUGAAGAAGGAUUUCGGUUCGUAAAGCUCUGUUGUUAGGGAAGAAUGAUUGUGUAGUAACUAUACACAGUAGAGACGGUACCUAACCAGAAAGCCACGGCUAACUACGUGCCAGCAGCCGCGGUAAUACGUAGGUGGCAAGCGUUGUCCGGAAUUAUUGGGCGUAAAGCGCGCGCAGGUGGUUUAAUAAGUCUGAUGUGAAAGCCCACGGCUCAACCGUGGAGGGUCAUUGGAAACUGUUAAACUUGAGUGCAGGAGAGAAAAGUGGAAUUCCUAGUGUAGCGGUGAAAUGCGUAGAGAUUAGGAGGAACACCAGUGGCGAAGGCGGCUUUUUGGCCUGUAGCUGACACUGAGGCGCGAAAGCGUGGGGAGCAAACAGGAUUAGAUACCCUUGUAGUC
rnacentral:rRNA from 1 species